rnacentral:piRNA from 1 species
CGUUCAAGGACCACGCGAGCUAC